UUAGACUUCCCUGGCUUCAGAUGAUUAGCCUUAUUUUUCACUUACUAAAUAUGCUCAAAGUGCCCAAUCCUGCAAAGAUGAAUGGAAAUACCAAACUUUGCAUACGACUGACUAUAAAAGUGUGAAAAGACGCAUUAUAUAUUGUAACAAGCCAUUCUCAAAUUGUUGAUUAUUUGGGAUUGACCUUCGGUGAUGAUUUGGCAGCUAAACUGAAGGAGAAGACGAUGCUACUGUAGAAGAGUGCUUGCAGAGGUGGCAGAACUUGUGCCCUUAUAUGCAAAGUGGCCAGAAUCUCAAUUAUAGGGAAGGAAAAGGAAGGAGCUUUGACAGAACCUGUGACAGACAAGAACUUUAUUGCUCAAUUGCCAGUGAGGACAAGGCCUAAGAAUUAUCUAAAAGAUACGGAGCAACAUGGCUACCCCUCAGAGACUAAUCCCAAGAGUGAUUCACAAACCAUGGGGAAGACAGGCCUUGCAUGGUCUAAUUCUCAAAUGUCACUGAC